GUGGGGAAUAUUGGGCAAUGGGCGCAAGCCUGACCCAGCAACGCCGCGUGAGGGAAGAAGGCUUUCGGGUUGUAAACCUCUGUCCUUGGUGACGAAGAAAGUGACGGUAGCCAAGGAGGAAGCCCCGGCUAACUACGUGCCAGCAGCCGCGGUAAUACGUAGGGGGCGAGCGUUGCCCGGAAUUACUGGGCGUAAAGGGUGCGUAGGUGGCCUUUUAAGUUGGAUGUGAAAUACCCGGGCUUAACUUGGGGGGUGCAUCUAAUACUGGGAGGCUAGAGUGCAGGAGAGGGAAGCGGAAUUCCUAGUGUAGCGGUGAAAUGCGUAGAUAUUAGGAGGAACACCAGUGGCGAAGGCGGCUUUCUGGACUGUAACUGACACUGAGGCACGAAAGCGUGGGGAGCAAACAGGAUUAGAAACCCGGGUAGUCC
rnacentral:rRNA from 1 species